rnacentral:rRNA from 1 species
GGGGGGGGGGGGGGGGGGGGGGGGGGGGGGGGGGGGGGGCGGAGGGGGUGUGCGGGAGCGUGGUGCACCGGGGGCUGGGAGUUGCGGACGGGUGAGUAACGCGUAGGUAACCUGCCUGGGAGCGGGGGAUAACUAUUGGAAACGAUAGCUACUACCGCCUAAUAUUAAUUAUUGCAUGAUAAUUAAUUGAAAGGUGCAAUUGCACCACUACCAGAUGGACCUGCGUUGUAUUAGCUAGUAGGUGAGGUAACGGCUCACCUAGGCGACGAUACAUAGCCGACCUGAGAGGGUGAUCGGCCACACUGGGACUGAGACACGGCCCAGACUCCUACGGGAGGCAGCAGUAGGGAAUCUUCGGCAAUGGACGAAAGUCUGACCGAGCAACGCCGCGUGAGUGAAGAAGGUUUUCGGAUCGUAAAGCUCUGUUGUAAGAGAAGAACGGGUGUGAGAGUGGAAAGUUCACACUGUGACGGUAUCUUACCAGAAAGGGACGGCUAACUACGUG